rnacentral:lncRNA from 1 species
AGUCUGUAGCAAACAAGGCAACCCACAGUCUCUGACAGGGUCAAGAAGACCUCGCUGGCUCCAAUGGGGGAAGCCUCUUGAACUGGGUAUAGGAAAAAGUGGUAAUAUUUGUGCCAACAAAACAAAACAAAACCUAAGAGGGCCUUGUGGUUCACCCCUUGGAUUUCUAAGAAGCUACACUUCCGUAAUUAGACCACUGGGGGGCAGAAGAGCAACAAAAAUUCCUCAGCAUGGCUGACUCGCACCACCCUCUGGGCGCUCAUCAUUGCUGACUUGGUCUGCAACAGGCAGAGGAGGCUCAGGCACCUCAUUUUCAGCUCCCACCACCUCCUCCCAGCCACCCGAUCCAGAGAGAGAAAAUCAAGAUGCAGCAACUGGGGAAUCCAAAAAAAAAAUGGUUACAGCAGCUAAGAGGUCUACUGGUACAGGCCAGGGUGCUUGCUCCCAGUCUUCCAAAGGGCAAAGAAGGGGCCAGGUGGGGAGAACAGACAGCUGCCUGACCGAGGACCCAAAAAAAGUUGGAGGGAAGUGGAUAAGUCUGGGAGAGUUUCUUUUCCAAAUCAGAGGAAAGGUGGAUGUCUCUGAAGAGAGCCAGAGUUCCCAGUCGUUAACAAGCCCACUCAGCCUCAGGGUGCCUGCCUACACCAAUGAGGAGAAGACAAGUGGACAUGCACAGCUAAGGCCUGAAGGCAUCCAGGUCGACAGGAUGCUGCAGGUGAAAGGUGUUCCUUGGGGUCAGGGUAGGUGAGGUAAGCCCAACAGUGAGGCUGGGAGACAACAAAGACCAGGCAUCUCGGCCAUCUUCCACACAAGCAGAUGUGAGUGUGAAACAGACCUUAACAAAAGAUUCAGUCCUACUACAACCCUAGUACACGAGAGACUAGGGCAUGUUGUGUUACAAAAUACAACAACAACUCAAACCAACCCCUCCAACAACCACCACCACCACCAGUAAUAGCAACAAAGAA